rnacentral:rRNA from 2 species
AGAGUUUGAUCCUGGCUCAGGAUGAACGCUGGCGGCGUGCCUAAUACAUGCAAGUCGAGCGAACGGACGAGAAGCUUGCUUCUCUGAUGUUAGCGGCGGACGGGUGAGUAACACGUGGAUAACCUACCUAUAAGACUGGGAUAACUUCGGGAAACCGGAGCUAAUACCGGAUAAUAUUUUGAACCGCAUGGUUCAAAAGUAAAAGACGGUCUUGCUGUCACUUAUAGAUGGAUCCGCGCUGCAUUAGCUAGUUGGUAAGGUAACGGCUUACCAAGGCAACGAUGCAUAGCCGACCUGAGAGGGUGAUCGGCCACACUGGAACUGAGACACGGUCCAGACUCCUACGGGAGGCAGCAGUAGGGAAUCUUCCGCAAUGGGCGAAAGCCUGACGGAGCAACGCCGCGUGAGUGAUGAAGGUCUUCGGAUCGUAAAACUCUGUUAUUAGGGAAGAACAUAUGUGUAAGUAACUGUGCACAUCUUGACGGUACCUAAUCAGAAAGCCACGGCUAACUACGUGCCAGCAGCCGCGGUAAUACGUAGGUGGCAAGCGUUAUCCGGAAUUAUUGGGCGUAAAGCGCGCGUAGGCGGUUUUUUAAGUCUGAUGUGAAAGCCCACGGCUCAACCGUGGAGGGUCAUUGGAAACUGGAAAACUUGAGUGCAGAAGAGGAAAGUGGAAUUCCAUGUGUAGCGGUGAAAUGCGCAGAGAUAUGGAGGAACACCAGUGGCGAAGGCGACUUUCUGGUCUGUAACUGACGCUGAUGUGCGAAAGCGUGGGGAUCAAACAGGAUUAGAUACCCUGGUAGUCCACGCCGUAAACGAUGAGUGCUAAGUGUUAGGGGGUUUCCGCCCCUUAGUGCUGCAGCUAACGCAUUAAGCACUCCGCCUGGGGAGUACGACCGCAAGGUUGAAACUCAAAGGAAUUGACGGGGACCCGCACAAGCGGU